GAAGCAUUCGAACGAGAAGCCCAAAUACCAAACACAAGAAACCAGAAGAUGAAUAGGAUUGCCCAGUAGCGUGCAGGACCAUACCUGAUUCUAAUUGAAGAACAUUAAUUACUCAAAGAGAUUUUACUUACAAAUCUGAAGAAGAUGACUAUUGUUAAAGCACAGAGACCACCAAGAAGGAUGUGAAGUCCGCUCCUAGCAGUUUUCUGCGUCAAUAACAAAAUUAAUGUACCGUUAACCAGUAAACACUACCAGUCAGAGAGAGACACACGUUUAGAUAGAUUGCAUACCUUUCCAACACGAGGGGCAAUGAGCCAGACCAAAGUAACAGUGAGUAACCCUGUAGCAAGUAGAAUCCCGGUACCUUC